UGUGCGGCGAGUGAGCGGGAAGAGCUCAAAUUUGAAAUCUGGUGGCCUCAGGUCAUCCGAGUUGUAAUCUAUAGAAGUGUUUUCCGUGCUGGCUCAUGUACAAGUCCCUUGGAACAGGGCGUCAUAGAGGGUGAGAAUCCCGUCCUUGACAUGAACUACCAGUGCUCUGUGAUACAUUUUCAACGAGUCGAGUUGUUUGGGAAUGCAGCUCAAAAUGGGUGGUAAAUUCCAUCUAAAGCUAAAUAUUGGCGAGAGACCGAUAGCGAACAAGUACCGUGAGGGAAAGAUGAAAAGCACUUUGGAAAGAGAGUUAAACAGUAUGUGAAAUUGUUGAAAGGGAAACGAUUGAAGUCAGUCGUGCUCUUUGGAUUCAGCCGGUUCUGCCGGUGUACUUCCUUUGAGUGGGGUCAACAUCAGUUUUGAUCGCUGGAUAAAGGCUGGAGGAACGUAGUACCCUCGGGUAAACUUAUAGCCUCCUGUCACAUACAGUGGUUGGGACUGAGGAACGCAGCACGCCUUUAUGGCCGGGAUUCGUCCACGUACGUGCUUAGGAUGUUGACAUAAUGGCUUUAAACGACCCGUCUUGAACCC
rnacentral:rRNA from 1 species